rnacentral:rRNA from 1 species
CGGCCGCGGUAUCCUAACCGUGCGAAGGUAGCGUAAUCACUUGUCCUUUAAAUGGGGACUAGUAUGAACGGCACCACGAGGGUUAUACUGUCUCCUUUCUCCAAUCAGUGAAUCUAAUCUCCCCGUGAAGAAGCGGGAAUACACCUAUAAGACGAGAAGACACUAUGGAGCUUUAAACAAAACAACAUUUGCUAAAUCACACACGUAUCUCAGGAAAUCAACUCUUAUUUUAGCUUUAUGAUUGUUAGUUUUAGGUUGGGGUGACCGCGGAGCAAAAAACAACCUCCACAAUGAAUGGGGACCUCCCCUAAGCAGAAAGCCACAACUUUACGCAUCAACAAAUUGACAUUGAUUGACACAAUAUUUUGAUCAACGAAACAAGUUACCCUAGGGAUAACAGCGCAAUCCACUUCAAGAGCCCAUAUCAACAAGUGGGUUUACGACCUCGAUGUUGGAUCAGGGUACCCCAGUGGUGCAACCGCUACUAAAGGUUCGUUUGUGCAACAAGUUUAACCCU